rnacentral:rRNA from 1 species
UACGUAGGGUGCAAGCGUUGUCCGGAAUUAUUGGGCGUAAAGAGCUCGUAGGCGGUCUGUUGCGUCGGCUGUGAAAACCCGGGCUCAACCCCGGGCCUGCAGCCGAUACGGGCAGACUAGAGUUCGGCAGGGGAGACUGGAAUUCCUGGUGUAGCGGUGAAAUGCGCAGAUAUCAGGAGGAACACCGGUGGCGAAGGCGGUCUCUGGGCCGAUACUGACGCUGAGGAGCGAAAGCGUGGGGAGCGAACAGG